rnacentral:rRNA from 1 species
AACGAACGCUGGCGGCAGGCUUAACACAUGCAAGUCGAGCGCCCCGCAAGGGAAGCGGCAGACGGGUGAGUAACGCGUGGGAAUCUACCCAUCUCUACGGAAUAACGCAUGGAAACGUGUGCUAAUACCGUAUACGUCCUUCGGGAGAAAGAUUUAUCGGAGAUGGAUGAGCCCGCGUUGGAUUAGCUAGUUGGUGGGGUAAAGGCCUACCAAGGCGACGAUCCAUAGCUGGUCUGAGAGGAUGAUCAGCCACACUGGGACUGAGACACGGCCCAGACUCCUACGGGAGGCAGCAGUGGGGAAUAUUGGACAAUGGGCGCAAGCCUGAUCCAACCAUGCCGCGUGAGUGAUGAAGGCCCUAGGGUUGUAAAGCUCUUUCACCGGUGAAGAUAAUGACGGUAACCGGAGAAGAAGCCCCGGCUAACUUCGUGCCAGCAGCCGCGGUAAUAC